GCACAGCUGUGGACCAAUCACAGCCAGGACACACCUGCACAGUCACAGCUGUGGACCAAUCACAGGCCAGGACCCCGCUGUGCUCAGUCCAGGAUGUUUAGUGGGACCAAAUAUUGAAGUUUUACACUGAGCGUCCACAGUGUUUAGAAGGAGACUGGAAACCUUUGAAUUCAGUCAGACCCUUUUCCAACCAGGCCUGUGGAGGACACGCCCACACAGAGGUCUCCUCCCCUCUGCUGGUCUCUGCUGGUCUCUGCUGGUCUCCUGGUCUCUGCUGGUCUCUGCUGGUCUCCUGGUCUCUGCUGGUCUCCUGGUCUCCUUUAGGGUCCACCUCUUCAGUAUAUUGACUCUUUUAGGACCGUUUCUAAAGCCGGAUCUGAGGCUCAGUCAACAGUUCUGGAACAAACUGUUUGUUUGGUCAAAGGGAACGAGGGACGUGACUGAGACAGGCUGACCUUUAUAUGUACGUUUACA